rnacentral:lncRNA from 1 species
GUGAGAGAUGGUUGUAGCUUGGACAAGGAUUUAGCGCAUAGGUGGUGAGAAGUGGUCAGACUCUGCAUGUAUUUUGAAAGAAGAGCUGACAGGAUCUGCUAAAGGACUAGACAGAGAAUGUGUAGGAAGGAGAGAAGUCAAGGAGGACGUCAGGGUUUGGGGCCUGAGCCAUGCGGGGGGUGGGGCAGGGGGUUGGAGUUGCCAUUCACUGAGAUGGGAAAUGCUUUGCAAGAAGCAGAGAGCUCUGUAUGGAACAUAUUAAGUUGAGACGCUAAUGAGACACCUGAAUGGAGCCUGGACUUAGGGAAGAUGUCCGCGUUGGAGAUAGAAAUUUGGCAGUCAUCCACAUAUAGAUGGUAUUUCAAGUCACCAGAUGGAAUGAGAUCACCAAAGAAAGUGGAAUGUAAUAUUUCAGCUUAACUCAAUAUCCAAGACCAUCUGCCAAGGACUUCACUUUCUUCCUCUGCUGGAGGAUGUCAGUCUUUCUAGCAACUGAUUUGCAGCCGGCAAUUGUUCACCUUGGGCUGAGGACUAAAGUCCAAACGAAUCUGUUGACCUCAGCUGCAGCUGGUAAUUACUUCUUCGCUUGUUUGUUUCCUGUUGUGGAUUUCCAGCAUUCAAGUUGCACAGAUUCAAAAAUUUGGAAGGACAAAGGAAUAAGUAGUCACUCUUUGGAGAAAUGAACAAAUAGUUCCAAGUCAUCUGGGCUAAUCAAGCAGUCAC